rnacentral:miRNA from 1 species
AAUAAACCUCAUUAUCUAUGUUGUUCAGGUUUAUGCAAAAAUGUGGUCCUUCAUCGUCACGUGCGUAUUGUAUUUUUCUCAAGUCAACCAAUAGGAAUGUUCAAAAUGUCCUAUUGCUAAAGUCAUGGAUGAGCAAUUGGACAAAACCGUUGCUAUUGGCUGGUUGAGCAAAACUACAAUACGCACGUGACGAUGAAAGACCACAUUUUUGCAUAAACCUGAACAAAAACAUAGAUAGUGAGGU